rnacentral:rRNA from 1 species
UACGUAGGGGGCUAGCGUUGUCCGGAAUCAUUGGGCGUAAAGCGCGUGUAGGCGGUCCGGUAAGUCCGCUGUGAAAGUCGGGGGCUCAACCCUCGAAUGCCGGUGGAUACUGUCGGGCUAGAGUACGGAAGAGGCGAGUGGAAUUCCUGGUGUAGCGGUGAAAUGCGUAGAGAUCAAGAGGAACACUCGUGGCGAAAGCGAGCUACUGGACAAUUCCUGACGCUGAGGCUCGAAGGCUAGGGUAGCGAAAGGG